rnacentral:rRNA from 1 species
UACGAAGGGGGCUAGCGUUGCUCGGAAUGACUGGGCGUAAAGGGCGCGUAGGCGGCUUGCACAGUCAGGCGUGAAAUUCCUGGGCUCAACCUGGGGACUGCGCUUGAGACGUGUGGGCUUGAGUGGGGAAGAGGGUCGUGGAAUUCCCAGUGUAGAGGUGAAAUUCGUAGAUAUUGGGAAGAACACCGGUGGCGAAGGCGGCUUCCUGGUCUGCGACUGACGCUGUGGCGCGAAAGCUAGGGGAGCAAACGGG